CCGCUUUUCAAAAUCCACCUCCCCUUGGGACAUUGUUUUAGGUUUCAUGGUGGAUAAAAAUCCACCCCACCCCCAAAAUCCACCUUGCAUCGGGAUUGCUCUAAGAGAGCACCUACAGUACUAGGCAAUAGACAUAGCAGAGAACUACUUGACAGGGAGCUUAAUCACUAGAGGAGCUAUUAUGCUCCCCUUGCACUAAAGCAAAGCAGCUAUGUGUGCCAAAUCGAACUAGACCUGUUACGCAUAUGAGGUGGGGACUGGGGAUGAAGCCAAAAGACAGUGAGUUGAGCGUUCCUGCACGAUACGGCUUUUUGGCCCAGUAAUCUCGACCAUUUCUACAACCUCCAUCACCCAUGACAUCACCAUCGAAAGCAACCGUUGAGAAUGACUGUCAUAAUUGAUCGAAUUGUUGACACGAAAGAAAUCAUGAAUGAUGUUGGGAACAAAGAGUGGGUCAAGGAUGUUGAUUGUUGAGUAGAGUUGGAUGAACUGCACCAUGAAUGAACUCUGUUCCAACGUUGUUGCAUUGGAUAAAAACGGAGGCCCUAAGUGAUUAACAGAACACCUUUUCUAGCUUAUUGCAUAAAGCAAAUACAUUCUAAUCAAUACAAAGAAAAAAAAAACAUUCAACCUUUUGAAUGUCGAACAACACUAGCUCACAAACUCCAUAAACUCUGAAUCCUCACACAAACUCCUCAAUGUUUGGGGUGACAGACAAGCUUCAAUAUCCAUACUUCCUUUAACAGCACCUUGAUAAACAGUCAUUUUACCAUCAAACUUAUUACCACACCCACUUCGCACCGCUAUAGGACACCCCCAUCCAAAAUCAUUUCCAUACAUAUUAAAUCUUGGCGAACUCCCUGUAAUUAAAAUAUUCUUUCUCUUUUCUAAGUCAUCAAAACAAAGAAAAUUCGGUUUCUUCACCGAAUUUUCCCAAGCACUACAAAUUUUCUCAUGACUAUGCAAAUUUACCAUUUGGUUUAAUAAUAUAGCUGCAUGUCCGAGUCCUCCAUUCAUCAACUCACCAACUUUUGCUAUCGCGAAACCUGAGUUUAUUGAGUUACCAAAAUAUUUUUCAGGUAAUGGAGGAUUUAAUCUAGCUCUAUUCCCCAAUAAUAACCGAUAACUAACUUCUUCAUCAUAAUCAAGAUUUCUCGCUCUCGUGACAGAUACCCACACUUGUGCCAAUACUGCUUGUAACGAAGAUAUGGUCACAUUCUUAUUGGUAGUAGUAGCUUUGGCUUUGAGUUUUGCAAUGUUUUCAGCUUUGAAAUGAAACAUUCGUUGGUCAAGUGGUUGUGGAGUGUAAGAUCUGAUGCAUUUUUCAAUAGUCGAGGCAGGAAUAUGAACGGGUAGAUCAUUUUCAUUGAGAAACCAACGGUUGAAAUGUGGUGGACAUGAGAUUUGAUAGGAUCCACUUUUGCAAAUUUCAGACCAUGAGUUGAUAAAAUGCCAAAAAAUGCUUCCAUCAAUGAUAGCAUGGUUAAUGGAGCACCCAAUAAAAAUGCCAUCAAUCAAUUCGGUGACUUGAAUAGAAACCAACGGUUGAGAUCUAUCGUAAUUAAUGAUAUCAUUAAGAGAAAAUAAAUCAUAAACUACCUUUGGUAUGUAAAUUGGGUCAAGGAUGUCAGAGAUCGUUAGAUCAGCUGUGGCGUGGAUGAACUGUGCUCCAGUAUUGUUGCAUUGGAUAAAACUUGAAAUAGUGUUGUCGUCGGCAUGUGUUUCGGUAUCUAAACGGCCUGCGAGAGGGAAAAAAUGAUCCAGUGUAUGAGAGAGUGAGUUUUUAAGAUGAGUAUGUAUCAUCUUUGGGUUGAUGGAAGAGAAGACCCUUUUGAAUUGUGUGAACUGGGAGUAAGUGGAGAUCCCAUGGUGUUAACUCAAGUCUUUGAGUUGACUCAGUACGAGUUGCUGGUAGAAUUGUAUCAGUAGAGAUGUAGCAAAUUUGAGCUGUAGUAGGUGAUCUGAGUCUGUCUUCCAUCUCUUCUCAGCUCUCUCUCUCUCUUGAACAGUUUAUCAAUUCAACACAUGAACAAAAGUCUGAUCGUCUGUCUAUGUACUUUGUGUUCUCGCUGAUUGACGAAUUUAAAGAUCCAAAAACACAUGGUGAUAGCCACACGAAAUAAAAAAGCACAUGGGCACAAAAUUUAUGACCACCAAAAAUAACAUGUGUUAACGUGUCAUCUAUCUGGCCAUAGGCUACAAAGCCUACAACUAACAAAAAAAGGUGACCACCUUUAACCGUCCAUGGGCCAUUUUGUUAUUUUAGCCCAAUAAACAAAAAGUAGGUGCCAAGCGCCCAAGCCUCAUGCAUAGGACUGGUUCAGCAGGACAUCGUGAAUGUGACCAGACUCAGAACAGAAGACAGAGUGACAGACGAGAGGUAAAGGUAUUCUAAUGGAUUCACAACAGCAGUGCCUUCGAUGUAGUAGAAAAGCAAGAAUCAGCAAUAUAUAUGAUGUUUGUUGUAAACACAGGAUAAGUCCUCUAUGACUAUGGAAUCAUCUGACGGUGGGCUGGGCGCUUAAAGUGUACGCUAAUCAGAAAUGUUAGUUUGGUUUGGUUGCAAGUAAAAUUUCUACAUUUGAUCAACACAAAAGAAAAUUAUAUAGCACCCAGAGUUUGCUGUAUAUAUAAAUAUAUAUAGCUCAAUUUUGGCUUAAAAUAAAAAUAAUAGGAGUAGCGUUUUUCAGCGAAAAAAGAGAACAAUAGAGUAUUACUAUAGGUCUAUAGUAUUGGAAAAGAUAGAAGUAAUAUAUGUGUGUUAACCAUAUUUGUGAAGUUGGUCAAUACAUUAAUGAAAGAUGAUGAUGUGUAUGAUAUGAACAAUAAUAAAGUAGAGACGUGAACACCAUUGUAUACGUGGUUCGGCAAUUGUGCUUACAUCCAUAGAGAGAGAGAAUGAACUUUAUUAUAGUAGUGGUGAUACAAAAUGGGAGCUCGAUUAUGAGGAGAGCUUGAGAGAGAUGAGACCUGAGAGGUGAGGUCUCAUCAUGAGAGAUUGGGGAGGUCGUUGAUCAUGAGACCUCACCAUGAGAUAGUGUUGAGGUCUUGUGUAUGAUUCACCAUGAGACCAUGAGAAGAUGAGUAGUUUGCCUUUAUAUUUAUAGGCUACAAUGUAACUCCAUUCUUAGCAAUUAAUAGGGUAAUAAUGGGGAAAAUAUCUUUGUAAUAAUAAGGCUUAACUUUGUAACUUGUGCCAUCAAGAGAGAGCCCAUUAGAUGUUGACAUGUGGCACCAUGAUGGACGGUAGAGAUGGUGCCACAUGUAUGUUGUAUAUAGUACCCCUACAUAAGCCCCCUCUUUUUAGGUUGAACGGAGUUCGGGCUGAAAAAAAGUAAUCGAACCGAUCCAGCCCCCAAAAUGAAUGAAAUAUGGGGUUCUUUAACGAAGUCGAUCCGCCCCAAAUUUUGAUGAGCUUGAUCAUUGAGAUUUGCAGGACGCGAUGAAGGUCCCUUGUGGUAAUGGCAACUCGAUCAUGAAUUUGUGUAUAGCGAGCUAGUUAGUUCCAGGGAGACCUGGUAGCUCGUUCAGAAGGCAUGUAGACGAGAUGGACAGCUGCAAGCAGGUCGUACUGAAAUGGGUCUUCUUGCAUACAUGGGUGGUUGUCUUUUUGUGGUCGAGUUGCAUAGACCUGAUACUUGUUGAUAAUGUUAGCAUGUGAAAUAUUAUAAAAUUUAGUAAGAGACUUACACUGAACUGUAUGUCUUCCUUAUGAGUUUUGUAUGUACUAUCUUUGUCGUCUUGUGAUUGGACAUUCCGAUAGAUGUGGCGCUUUGGAGUGCACAUGUAGCUCGUUUGAGAAAGAGCAUUGGUUGACCAAGUGUUUUGAGAGUUACUUGGAACCUUUUGGUGCCCGAUCUAGUGAAUGGUCGCAGCGUGGAGACCUGUUUGACAAUUCUCGGGCAUGUGGCCUUUGUGGGUCUGCAUUGCGUUCAGAGUGAAUGCGUUCAAUCAGGCGUGUGGCUAGAGAAUUGUGUUUGAGGUCGUCCCGCAUAUGAGUGACUCACUAGUCAAUGAGGGUGGUCGUAUUGUAUAUCAAGCAUUUCACUUGUAAAGAGUUCAGUGAAAGCAAUGUGGCACAUUUGUGCAAAAAUAGCUCAUGGGGAGUGAGGUCGUGUUCAUGUGACCUGCACAUAGAGAGAGCUACAAAAAAUAUCAUUAAUAGCUAAUUGUGCUAAUAAUAAGUUAAUUUCAUUAGAUAAAGUGAGAAUAGCCCCCUGUAUGGCAUAAAUAUUAUUGAGGUCGUUGAAAGACCUGUAAUUUGAGGAGGUCGUUGAUAGACCUGGUGAGGUCGCGAUGAAGGACCUGACAUGAAGGACCUGGCGUGAAGGACCUGGUGAGGUCGCGACGAGACAUGAGAGGUCGUUGGUAGACCUGUCGAGGUCACGAUGAGAGACAUGAAAAUAUAUCACCAGAUAAAUAUAUCUGAAACUCUUGCUUCUGUCGAGUCCAGUAAUUGUGUAAACAAUUUGCUCCAAGCCCCCAACUGUGAGUUGCAAUUCUAUCUUUUCAAAUUCAAUGAAUUUCUUGAAAAUCACCAUCUGAGAACCUUAGAACAAUGGUGUUCGGUGGGGUUGGUGGGUGGAAUUCGUUUGAGAAAAUCUCAAGUCCUUGUAGUCGGCGCCAAAUGUAUUAACCAUAUUUGUGAAGUUGGUCAAUACAUUAAUGAAAGAUGAUGAUGUGUAUGAUAUGAACAAUAAUAAAGUAGAGACGUGAACACCAUUGUAUACGUGGUUCAGCAAUUGUGCUUACAUCCACGGAGAGAGAGAAUGAACUUUAUUAUAGUAGUGGUGAUACAAAAUGGGAGCUCGAUUAUGAGGAGAGCUCGAGAGAGAUGAGACCUGAGAGGUGAGGUCUCAUCAUGAGAGAUUGGGGAGGUCGUUGAUCAUGAGACCUCACCAUGAGAUAGUGUUGAGGUCUUGUGUAUGAUUCACCAUGAGACCAUGAGAAGAUGAGUAAUUUGCCUUUAUAUUUAUAGGCUACAAUGUAACUCCAUUCUUAGCAAUUAAUAGGGUAAUAAUGGGGAAAAUAUCUUUGUAAUAAUAAGGCUUAACUUUGUAACUUGUGCCAUCAAGAGAGAGCCCAUUAGAUGUUGACAUGUGGCACCAUGAUGGACGGUAGAGAUGGUGCCACAUGUAUGUUGUAUAUAGUACCCCUACAUAUAUAUUGUAUAUAGUAUCCCUACAAUAUGGUUUUCAUGAGUUUCUGGUUAAAUAAUGAAAACACCUCUUAAAUCUCUUUAUAUAUUGCAUAUAAAGAAAAUACAUACCAAUCAGUAAAAAUAAUUUCAACCUUAGUUUAUAAUGCUCAGCAUUCUGCAAUACCUACAAACUCCAUAAACUCUGAGUCCUCACCCAAACACCUCAAUGUUUCUGGCGACAAACAAGCUUCAAUGUCCAUACUUCCUCUAAUAGCACCUGGAUAAAUAGUCAUUUUACCAUCAAACUUAUUGCCACACCCACUUCGCACCGCUAUAGGACACCCCCAUCCAAAAUCAUUUCCAUACAUAUUAAACCUUGGUGAACUUCCAGUGAACAAAAUAUUCUUCUUUUCUACUUCAUCAAAAAACACAAGUUUAGGUUCUUUAACCCUCUCUUCCCAAGCACUACAAAUUUUCACACUCAAAUGCGAACUCACCAUCUCAUUUAGUAAUCUAGCUGCAAAUCCAAGUUCCCCAUUCAUCAACUCACCAACUUUUGCUAUAGCGAUACCAGUGUUUACUGAAUUGCCAAAAUAUUUUUCAGGUAAUGGAGGACUUAUUAAUCUACCUCUAUUUCCCAUUAAUAACCCAUAGCUAACUUCUUCAUCAUUAUCAAUAUUUCUCGCACGCGUGACACCUAUCCACACGUGUGCCAAUACAGCUUGUAACGAAGAUAUGAUCACUCCAUUAUUAUUGGCAGUAGCUUUGGUUUUGAGUUUGGCAAUGUUUUCAUAUGUGAAAUGAAACAUUCUUUCAUCAAGUGGUGGUAGAGUGUAAGAUCUGAUAGAUUUUUCAAUUGUCGAGGCAGGAAUUCUAAGGGGUAGAUCAGUUUCAUUGAGAAACCAACGGUUGAGAUGUGGUGGACGUGAGAUUUGAUAGGACCCACUUUUGCAAAUUUCAGACCAUGAGUUGAUAAAAUGCCAAAAAGUACUACCAUCAGCAAUGACAUGGUUCAUGGUGCACCCAAUAAAAACACCAUCAAUCAAUUCAGUGACUUGAAUAGAAACCAACGGUUGAGAUUGACCAUCAUAGUUAAUCGUAUUAUUAAGAGAAAAGAAAUCAUGAACUUACCUUGGGUAUGUAAAGUGGGUCAAGAACAUCGGAGAGUGUUAGAUCAGUUGUCGCGUGGAUGAACUGUGCUCCAGCGUUGUUGCAUUGGAUAAAAACUGAGAUGGUGUUGUCGUUGUGUGUUUCAGUAGCUAAACGACCUGCAAGAGGAAAGAAAUGAUCCAGUGUGUAAGAGAGGGAGGAUUUGAGAUGAGUAAGCCAUGUGUUGCCGUUGGGUUGGUGGAAGAAAAGACCCUUUUGGAUUGCCUGGACUGAAAGUGAGUUGAGAUCCCAUGGUGUUAAUUCGAGUCUUUGAGCUGACUCAGUGUGUGUUGCUGGUAGAAUUGUAUCAGUGGAGAUGUAGCGAACUUUUCCUGCAGCAGAACUGAGAUUGACUUCCAUGGCUGAACUGAAACCGAUCUCUCUCUCUCUCUCUCUCUCUCUCUCUCUCUCUGAAGAAAAUAAGAAAUAUAUUGAUUGAUAGGUUCAAAAGAUGCUAUCAAUAUUGUAAGGCUUCCGGGGUUUGUGGU
rnacentral:lncRNA from 1 species